GGAGUGAACCAAAAACAAAUGUUGAAUUGCUAGGAAAAGUAUAUUAGGGAGAUUGAGUGAUGAUAACUAGAGUCUCGAGAUAGGGUUUAUGAGCAUAUUGCCAUGAAGCAAGCAAUGUUUCUGGUCAAAAAGAAUUAUCUAAAACCAAUUUCAUUUGCCAUCAGUUGGUCUUACAUAUAGUCCAGAGGGAAAAAAGAAAAGAGUAAUGUUAACGGAUAUGAUGCAACGGAAAAAAUAUAACAACCUAGAAUCUCACUUAAAAAAAAGCUAGUUAAAUGGUGUUAUUUAUAUUUUUUGGUCCUAUAUAAAUACCAAGAUCUUUCGAGCACAUAAUUAAUAUAGGACUAAAUAUACAUUCAUAUAGGUACUUACAAAAAGUUAAAUUAGAGGAUCAAAGAAGAGGCACAGCAUGGUUUAUACCGCCUGCUUAGUUUUCACUUAUUAAAGAGUUAAAUGGGUCAGUAAGCUUUAAAGUUAUAUAUAUCUUUUAGGCUCCAACACAACAUACAGACAAUACAAAUAUGAAUUUGAAUCAGCCUAGGUUAGGGAAAAGGCUCUAGAGAAAUUAUAUUCUGGAUUGUAUAUCACACUUAACCUUGCCUAACAAAACACCUGGCUAACAUGGGCUAACUUCGAGUCUAAUCCAUCUUCAACUUGCCCUUUCUGACGUACGUUACGCCAUUUUUGGACACCGAAGGUUUCCCCAACCCAAAGCAACACUAGAUCACCAGGCCCCCUUUACCCAGGACUAAUCCAAAAUUGAUGAGCUCCAGUUAAUGGCCUAGAAUUAAUGCUCCCGGUGGUCCAUUUAAUAAUUCUCCAAAUCCACCCAACCAUCACCUGCCAGGUGUUCUAUUGGUGGCGGCUUGGACCGGAGCACUGCGCUAGUCAAUUGUCAACCUGCAACUCUCUAGAGGAACAAGAAAUAUUAAACAUCUCUCGUCACUCAUCACCUGCUUUGAACGAAUCAACCAACCCUUUUCUUUCUUCGUCCCUAGAUCCUAUC
rnacentral:lncRNA from 1 species